rnacentral:rRNA from 1 species
GACGAACGCUGGCGGCGUGCCUAAUACAUGCAAGUAGAACGCUGAAGGAGGAGCUUGCUUCUCUGGAUGAGUUGCGAACGGGUGAGUAACGCGUAGGUAACCUGCCUGGUAGCGGGGGAUAACUAUUGGAAACGAUAGCUAAUACCGCAUAAUAGUAGAUGUUGCAUGACAUUUGCUUAAAAGGUGCAAUUGCAUCACUACCAGAUGGACCUGCGUUGUAUUAGCUAGUUGGUGAGGUAACGGCUCACCAAGGCGACGAUACAUAGCCGACCUGAGAGGGUGAUCGGCCACACUGGGACUGAGACACGGCCCAGACUCCUACGGGAGGCAGCAGUAGGGAAUCUUCGGCAAUGGACGGAAGUCUGACCGAGCAACGCCGCGUGAGUGAAGAAGGGUUUCGGAUCGUAAAGCUCCGUUGUAAGAGAAGAACGAGUGUGAGAGUGGAAAGUUCACACUGUGACGGUAUCUUACCAGAAAGGGACGGCUAACUACGUG